rnacentral:rRNA from 1 species
UACGGAGGAUCCAAGCGUUAUCCGGAUUUAUUGGGUUUAAAGGGUGCGUAGGCGGCGUUGUAAGUCAGUGGUGAAAGUUUUCAGCUUAACUGGAAAAUUGCCCUUGAUACUGCAGUGCUUGAGUACAGAUGAGGUGGGCGGAAUGUGUCAUGUAGCGGUGAAAUGCAUAGAUAUGACACAGAACACCAAUUGCGAAGGCAGCUCACUAAGCUGUAACUGACGCUGAGGCACGAAAGUAUGGGGAUCAAACGGG